GGAGUCUGCAACUCGACUCCGUGAAGCUGGAUUCGCUAGUAAUCGCGCAUCAGCCAUGGCGCGGUGAAUACGUUCCCGGGCCUUGUACACACCGCCCGUCAAGCCAUGGGAGCCGGGGGUACCUGAAGUCCGUAACCGCGAGGAUCGGCCUAGGGUAAAACUGGUGACUGGGGCUAAGUCGUAACAAGGUACC
rnacentral:rRNA from 1 species